GACGAACGCUGGCGGCGUGCCUAAUACAUGCCAGUAGAACGCACAGUUUAUACCGUAGCUUGCUCCACCAUAGACUGUGAGUUGCGAACGGGUGAGUAACGCGUAGGUAACCUGCCUGGUAGCGGGGGAUAACUAUUGGAACCGAUAGCUAAUACCGCAUAAUAUUGAUUAUUGCAUGAUAAUUAAUUGAACGGUGCAAUUGCACCACUACCAGAUGGACCUGCGUUGUAUUAGCUAGUAGGUGAGGUAACGGCUCACCUAGGCGACGAUACAUAGCCGACCUGAGAGGGUGAUCGGCCACACUGGGACUGAGACACGGCCCAGACUCCUACGGGAGGCAGCAGUAGGGAAUCUUCGGCAAUGGACGAAAGUCUGACCGAGCAACGCCGCGGGAGUGAAGAAGGGUUUCGGAUCGUAAAGCUCUGUUGUAAGAGAAGAACGGGUGUGAGAGUGGAAAGUUCACACUGUGACGGUAACUUACCAGAAAGGGACGGCUAACUACGUG
rnacentral:rRNA from 1 species